rnacentral:rRNA from 1 species
AGGACCGUGGGCGGCGUGCCUAAUACAUGCAAGUCGAGCGAAUGGAUUAAGAGCUUGCUCUUAUGAAGUUAGCGGCGGACGGGUGAGUAACACGUGGGUAACCUGCCCAUAAGACUGGGAUAACUCCGGGAAACCGGGGCUAAUACCGGAUAACAUUUUGAACCGCAUGGUUCGAAAUUGAAAGGCGGCUUCGGCUGUCACUUAUGGAUGGACCCGCGUCGCAUUAGCUAGUUGGUGAGGUAACGGCUCACCAAGGCAACGAUGCGUAGCCGACCUGAGAGGGUGAUCGGCCACACUGGGACUGAGACACGGCCCAGACUCCUACGGGAGGCAGCAGUAGGGAAUCUUCCGCAAUGGACGAAAGUCUGACGGAGCAACGCCGCGUGAGUGAUGAAGGCUUUCGGGUCGUAAAACUCUGUUGUUAGGGAAGAACAAGUGCUAGUUGAAUAAGCUGGCACCUUGACGGUACCUAACCAGAAAGCCACGGCUAACUACGUGCCAGCAGCCGCGGUAAUACGUAGGUGGCAAGCGUUAUCCGGAAUUAUUGGGCGUAAAGCGCGCGCAGGUGGUUUCUUAAGUCUGAUGUGAAAGCCCCACGGCUCAACCGUGGAGGGUCAUUGGAAACUGGGGAGACUUGAGUGCAGAAGAGGAAAGUGGAUUUCCAUGUGUAGCGGUGAAAUGCGUAGAGAUAUGGAGGAACCACCAGUGGCGAAAGGCGACUUUUCUGGUUUGUAACUGACACUGAGGCCGCGAAGAGCGCGAAGAGCAACUUUCUGUUCUGUAACUGACCACUGAGGCGCGAAAGCGUGGGAAGCCAAUCAGCAUUAGAUACCCUGGUAGUCACCGCCGUAAACGAUGAGUGCUCAGUGGUUAUGACGGUUUCCUCCCCUUUCAGUGCUGAAGUUAACAGCAUUCAGCACUUCCGCCUGGGGAGUACGGCCGGCCAGGCUGAAACUCAAAGGAAUUGACGGGGGCCCGCACCAAGCGGUGGAGCAUGUGGUUUAAUUUGAAGCCACCCGAAGAACCUUACCCAGUCUUGACAUCCUCUGACAACCCUAGAGAUAGGGCUUCUCCUUUGGGAGCAGAGUGACCGGUGGUGCAUGGUUGUUGUCCGCUCGUGUCGUGAGAUGUUGGGUUAAGUCCCGCAACGAGCGCAACCCUUGAUCUUAGUUGCCAUCAUUAAGUUGGGCACUCUAAGGUGACUGCCGGUGACAAACCGGAGGAAGGUGGGGAUGACGUCAAAUCAUCAUGCCCCUUAUGACCUGGGCUACACACGUGCUACAAUGGACGGUACAAAGAGCUGCAAGACCGCGAGGUGGAGCUAAUCUCAUAAAACCGUUCUCAGUUCGGAUUGUAGGGUGCAACUCGCCUACAUGAAGCUGGAAUCGCUAGUAAUCGCGGAUCAGCAUGCCGCGGUGAAUACGUUCCCGGGCCUUGUACACACCGCCCGUCACACCACGAGAGUUUGUAACACCCGAAGUCGGUGGGGGAACCUUUUUGGAGCCAGCCGCCUAAGGUGCACCAGAAGAUGUG